GAUGAAGAACGCAGCGAAAUGCGAUACGUAAUGUGAAUUGCAGAAUUCAGUGAAUCAUCGAGUCUUUGAAUGCACAUUGCGCCCCCUGGUAUUCCGGGGGGCAUGCCUGUCCGAGCGUCAUUGCUGCCCUCAAGCCCGGCUUGUGUGUUGGGUCUCGUCCCCCUUCCCGGGGGGACGGGCCCGAAAGGCAGCGGCGGCACCGUGUCCGGUCCUCGAGCGUAUGGGGCUUUGUCACCCGCUCUGUAGGCCCGGCCGGCGCUUGCCGAUCAACCAAAACUUUUUUCCAGGUUGACCUCGGAUCAGGUAGGGAUACCCGCUGAACUUAAGCAUAUCAAUAAGCGGAGGA
rnacentral:misc_RNA from 1 species